UACGUAGGGGGCAAGCGUUGUCCGGAAUCAUUGGGCGUAAAGCGCGUGUAGGCGGCUCGAUAAGUCUGCUGUGAAAGUCCAGGGCUCAACCCUGGGAUGCCGGUGGAUACUGUCGAGCUCGAGUCCGGAAGAGGCGAGUGGAAUUCCUGGUGUAGCGGUGAAAUGCGCAGAUAUCAGGAGGAACACCGAUGGCGAAGGCAGUGAUCUGGGCCAGUACUGACGCUGAGGAGCGAAAGCGUGGGGAGCAAACAGG
rnacentral:rRNA from 1 species